rnacentral:rRNA from 1 species
UACGAAGGGGGCUAGCGUUGCUCGGAAUCACUGGGCGUAAAGGGUGCGUAGGCGGGUCUUUUAAGUCAGGGGUGAAAUCCUGGAGCUCAACUCCAGAACUGCCUUUGAUACUGAAGAUCUUGAGUUCGGGAGAGGUGAGUGGAACUGCGAGUGUAGAGGUGAAAUUCGUAGAUAUUCGCAAGAACACCAGUGGCGAAGGCGGCUCACUGGCCCGAUACUGACGCUGAGGCACGAAGCGACGGGGAGGCAAACAGGG